AGCAAGUAUAGAAAGCUAAAAGCAUUAGAAACCAAUAUAUUUUACAUAUACGGAUAUAAGAUUUCCCUCAGGAACCAAAACGUACAACUCAAAUGUAACUAAAACUCCAUUUUUGUUCCAGAUACUUCGUAUAAAUACAAGAAGUGCAACAUUCCCCUUUGUGUCUGGCCAACAGACACCGCUCAAAAUCCUCUUUUCCUCUCAUAUAUUAUGAUCUAAUCUCUAUAUAAUACACAUACGCCUGCUUAUGCUAACCUUCAAGACUUCAAUAACAGCAGAUUAGAUUGGAAUGAAUAUAAUCGGAACAGAAAACAUGAGACAAAAUGUUGAAUCUCAGAGACAAAAAAUGCAUAUUCUACCAUAUGCAGAAAGUUGAGCUAAUUUACUCCUAAGCUGACGCUGUUGCAAGUCAUUCUUUUUUCCCCCCUGAAAUAUUGAAGUUAUCAGGCCCUGACUGUUCAAGAACUAAAUAAAAAAUGUACGAGAACAAGGCUCAAGGUUCCUGAACUUGACCCAUAAGCAAUGACUGGAGGCUAAGAAGAAAAUCACAAAGGACAAGAUUGGAAAGCUAACAUUUCCUCUGUGCGUACCUUGCUGAUGAGAUUAAUUGAUCGGAGCGCACGAGGAGAAGGUGAUUGACAGCCCUGUCGUCCUCAUUUCCGGCGAUCUUCUUGUUGGGCUUCCUCGCUGACUACUUUCUUGUGCGACUCUUGUGCAUUUCUUCUCGAUCUCUCUCCACUCCUUUCCCCCUUCUUUCCUCGAGGAGAAGAAUGAGCGGUGGUGGACCGAUCGAAGUAUCAAAGGCGAAGAGAAGGUGCCAGAAACCCAAACGAACAACACCCCGAAUUCAAAGCUCCGGGGAGUGAACGAGGGCAUGG
rnacentral:lncRNA from 1 species